rnacentral:rRNA from 1 species
UACGUAGGGAGCAAGCGUUUGUCCGGAUUUAUUGGGCGUAAAGAGCUCGUAGGCGGUUCGGUAAGUCGGGUGUGAAAACUCCAGGCUCAACCUGGAGAUGCCACUCGAUACUGCUGUGACUUGAAUCUGGUAGGGGAGCACGGAAUUCCUGGUGUAGCGGUGAAAUGCACAGAUAUCAGGAGGAACACCGGUGGCGAAGGCGGUGCUCUGGGCCAGUAUUGACGCUGAGGAGCGAAAGCGUGGGGAGCGAACAGG